rnacentral:rRNA from 1 species
AAGAUUUCUUCGGAAUGAAUUUGAUUUAGUUUAGUGGCGGACGGGUGAGUAACGCGUGAGUAACCUGCCUUCAAGAGGGGGAUAACAUUCUGAAAAGAAUGCUAAUACCGCAUGAUAUAUCGGAACCACAUGGUUUUGAUAUCAAAGAUUUUAUCGCUUGAAGAUGGACUCGCGUCCGAUUAGUUAGUUGGUGAGGUAACGGCUCACCAAGACCGCGAUCGGUAGCCGGACUGAGAGGUUGAACGGCCACAUUGGGACUGAGACACGGCCCAGACUCCUACGGGAGGCAGCAGUGGGGGAUAUUGCGCAAUG